GACACUGGGACAUAUAGGGACACUGGGAGACAUGGGGACACUAGGCACACUGAGACACUAGGAACACAGACACUGGGAGACAUAGGGACACUGAAACAUUUGGGGACACUAAGACACUAGGGACACAGAGACAUGGGGACACUGGGAGACUUGGGGACAGUUGUGGACAUAAACAUGGGGACACUGGGACAUAUAGGGACACUGGGACACAUGGGGACACUAGGC